rnacentral:sRNA from 1 species
GUCAAUGGUAAGAGAUCUCGUGGACAAA